UACAGAGGGGGCAAGCGUUGUUCGGAAUUACUGGGCGUAAAGGGCGCGUAGGCGGCCUUCUAAGUCGAACGUGAAAUCCCUGGGCUCAACCCAGGAACUGCGUCCGAUACUGGGAGGCUUGAAUCCGGGAGAGGGAUGCGGAAUUCCAGGUGUAGCGGUGAAAUGCGUAGAUAUCUGGAGGAACACCGGUGGCGAAGGCGGCAUCCUGGACCGGUAUUGACGCUGAGGCGCGAAAGCGUGGGGAGCGAACAGG
rnacentral:rRNA from 1 species